CUGCUGGUCAGCGUGGCGUGAUGCGCGGCGGUAUCGCUGCCGCUGAGAUCAAUCUGGCUAGCGCUGGCGUUCAGAUCGCCACCGGCCAGC
rnacentral:tRNA from 1 species